rnacentral:rRNA from 1 species
ACGAACGCUGGUGGCAUGCCUAACACAUGCAAGUCGAACGAGACCUUCGGGUCUAGUGGCGCACGGGUGCGUAACGCGUGGGAAUCUGCCCUUGGGUUCGGAAUAACUUCGGGAAACUGAAGCUAAUGCCGGAUGAUGACGUAAGUCCAAAGAUUUAUCGCCCGAGGAUGAGCCCGCGUAGGAUUAGCUAGUUGGUGAGGUAAAGGCUCACCAAGGCGACGAUCCUUAGCUGGUCUGAGAGGAUGAUCAGCCACACUGGGACUGAGACACGGCCCAGACUCCUACGGGAGGCAGCAGUGGGGAAUAUUGGACAAUGGGCGAAAGCCUGAUCCAGCAAUGCCGCGUGAGUGAUGAAGGCCUUAGGGUUGUAAAGCUCUUUUACCCGGGAUGAUAAUGACAGUACCGGGAGAAUAAGCUCCGGCUAACUCCGU